CCCUUUCCAACCAACCCCACACUGCCUCCCCCUGCCUGUAGAAUUAAUCACUCCCUUUUCUAUGAACCCACAGAAUUUUGCAUAUACAUGCUUCUUUCUCUCUUACCAUGGUAUCAAGUAAGAUGUGCAGACCACUCUCUCUCACAAACCUGUGAGCCCUUCUGGGGCAGAGGUUAACGCUUAUUCGUAUACAAACCACCAGUAUCCAGGAUAGUGCCUGCUACAGAAGAGGUUCCGACAAAAUGAUGUUGGUAGCCAUGUGCAUUGGGGUUAAGAGGGGCUUUGGAAUCAAAGAGACCAAGUUUGGUACCUAGAAAAUACCAUUCGUUAGCUCCAGGACUUGCAGAAGGUUAUGCAGUAUCUCUGUGGUAGGUAGAGUACUAGCUCCUUCCCCCCAAACAUGUUCAUGUCUUACCCUUGGACCCUAGGGACCUGUAAGGGAAAUUCGGAUUGCAGAUGAAAUUAAGGUUGCUAAUCAGUUGAACUUAAAAUAGGGAGAAUAGUUCAGAUUACCCAGGUGGGCCCAAUACAAUCACAAAGGUCCUUAAAAGUGAAAGGCUGAGGCAGAAAAGGGGUCCAUGUGAUGCAACAUGAGAAUGACUCAACCCAACUUUGCUGGUUUUGAAGCUGGAGGGAGGUCAAAGCAAGGACUGUGGGCAGCUUCUAGAAAACUAGGAAAGACAUGGAAAUAGAGUCUCCCCUAAAGCCUCCGGAAAAACAUGCAGCACUGCAAACGCCUAGGUGCAAAUCAAAAAUUAUGUGUUACAUGACUUGAGAAGGCUUAAAAAGUAGAAAAGUUCUGAUUCUUUCUCUGGAGCACUAGGCCUCAAUGAGUUACUUUUCCAUGAAGAAUGUCUAGAAAAACUCAAUAAUUCUCAGUUUACCCUCCUGCAAGAGAUAUAUAUAUAUAUCUUUUGUUUUUAGUAAAAGAGAGUCCAUUUCUGAAAUCCUGAUAUAACAUAUUAAAUAUAUGUUUUUAAUGAAUAAAUAUUUUUAAUGAAAAUGUAUAUUUAGUGAACAGAUAUAUCACCAACAAUGCCACCACCCAGAGUAAUCAUACUUGACGUUUUGGAGACUAUAAUUUUAGGGGUGUGCAUGUGUAUGUGUUUGUGUGUGCGUGUGUAUCUGGGCAUCUACAAACAUGGCAUAAAAUCUUAAAAUCUUUACAAGUUUUCCUCAUCAGGCACAUAACACAAACAGUCUUGCCAUUUAUUUUUCUUCUUUGACACCCCUCAGAAAAAAUUUGGAGUCUUUAGAAAGGUCUAACACAUUUCUAAUUAUAUUUAGUCUUCAAAAUUUUAUGUUUGUGUAGCUACUGUGAAGCUUUUCUAUUGCAUGUUCUAAGAGGUUAUUGAGGAUGUGGCUAUAUUUUUUCAUUAUGUAUACUAAAAUUAUCUUUCUGUACUCUCUUAGUUCUAAUAUUUUUUUUCAAUAAAUUCCCAGAUAUUUUCCAAAGAAGCAAUUAUGUUUUCUAAAAAUAAUGGUAGGAGUUCCCAUUGUGGCACAGCGGAAACGAAUCUAACUAGGAACCAUGAGGUUGCAGGUUUGAUCUCUGGCCUCCCUCAGUGGGUUAAGGAUCUGGCAUUGCUGCCAGCUGUGGUGUAGGUCAUCCUUAACCCACUGAGCAAGGCCAGGGAUAGAACCUGCGUCCUCAUGGUUACUAGCUGGGCUCGUUACCACUGCGCCACAAUGGGAAUUCUUUUUUAUUUAUUUUAAACAUUUCUUUUUUAAUAAUAAAAGCAUCAAAUGCUAUGAAUUUCCUCUGAGUACAGUUUUCACCAGAAUGUGGUGUAGUUAUCAUUAGUAUUUCCUAAGUAGUUUAUAAUUGCACUUUGGAUUUAGUCUUUGAUCCCAGAGCUAUUUAGGAGAAAUAUUUUAUGAGUUUUCCCCCAAACUCAAAAGCUUGAUCAUUUUUUUCUGUUUAUUUAUUUAUUUUUUAAAAAUUUCUAAAUUUGCUGGCUCUAUCACCAGCAUCUACCAU
rnacentral:lncRNA from 1 species